GUCCAGACUCCUACGGGAGGCAGCAGUGGGGAAUAUUGCACAAUGGGGGAAACCCUGAUGCAGCGACGCCGCGUGAGCGAUGAAGUAUUUCGGUAUGUAAAGCUCUAUCAGCAGGGAAGAAGAUGACGGUACCUGACUAAGAAGCCCCGGCUAACUACGUGCCAGCAGCCGCGGUAAUACGUAGGGGGCAAGCGUUAUCCGGAUUUACUGGGUGUAAAGGGAGCGUAGACGGCGAUGCAAGCCAGAUGUGAAAGCCCGGGGCUCAACCCCGGGACUGCAUUUGGAACUGUGUGGCUGGAGUGUCGGAGAGGCAGGCGGAAUUCCUAGUGUAGCGGUGAAAUGCGUAGAUAUUAGGAGGAACACCAGUGGCGAAGGCGGCCUGCUGGACGAUGACUGACGUUGAGGCUCGAAAGCGUGGGGAGCAAACAGGAUUAGAUACCCCGGUAC
rnacentral:rRNA from 1 species